GAUGAACGCUAGCUACAGGCUUAACACAUGCAAGUCGAGGGGCAGCAUGGGCUUAGCUUGCUAAGCCCGAUGGCGACCGGCGCACGGGUGAGUAACACGUAUCCAACCUUCCGGUAACUCCGGUAUUGCCUUUCGAAAGAAAGAUUAAUCCCGGAUAGUAUGGUGAUUCCGCAUGGUUUCUCCAUUAAAGGAUUCCGGUUACCGAUGGGGAUGCGUUCCAUUAGGCAGUUGGCGGGGUAACGGCCCACCAAACCUACGAUGGAUGGGGGUUCUGAGAGGAAGGUCCCCCACACUGGAACUGAGACGCGGUCCAA
rnacentral:rRNA from 1 species